AGGGACAACACACACCUAUCCUACACCAUUCAUCCUACUAACUCUAGUAAGCAAGUUUGGAAGUAAGCUAAUUUGGUAUAUAAACCAAAGAGCUACAAGGAUAAUUCUCUUCCUCUUACUCCACCCUCUUCCACCUCGGUUCUUGCUCCACUAAGCUCCAACUUGACAGCCAAGGAAACCUGCAGUGUUACCAACAAAAGAGGAUUAGAAGUUGUCAACAAAAGAGCUAAGACCUAAGCUUUCACAAAAGUAGUAAGAUGGGGAGUGCAACAUAUCAACCAAUCUGCCAAGUCCAAGAAAAGGACAAGAACCAAGAUAUCCUCACAUCUCUCCACUAGAAUUUGAGAUAAUAGAAUCUUCCAUGAGAAGCCAUCGCCUAAGCCCACAAUAGAGUAGGCAGAUUCUCUUCUUCCAUCAUCCAAGGCUGGAGAAACAGCCAAGAUACUAGCCUCCAAGAUAUACACAAGAAUAGGCAUGGAAACCUACUUACAAGCUUAAAAGAGGUAGAGCUGGCAGCCCCAAAAAUAGGAGCCUUUUUCUCCAAGUUUCAAACACAAAUAGCCAGAGCACUAUAUAAGCAGCCCCAUCUCCCUUCUCAUUCCCUCAUUUUCGAUACCACAAAUUCACUCAAAAUAAUUCAAGAAGCACAACAAGGAGUGGAGGAAGUUGAGGCAGGACAUCAGUCCCCAUCCGAGAGGAAUCAUCAAGCUAGGCUAUCUCUACGAGUAAAGGCGGAGUGAGGAAAAAAUCAAUUUAAGGAGUUAAGCGAAUGAGGUUGAGCAGUGAUGACGGCGGGCGGUGUUGAGCACAGACGAUGAAGAUCCUUCGAUAGAACAAUACUUGGAUGCGUCGUGUCUCCAUACACGAUGUCAUCUGCUCUUGAGUCUUCUGCUGCAAUGUAAAAGUCGAGAUUUCAUCCUCUUGUGCCAUGCACUCUGAUUUUUAUAUAUAUUCCAAGUUAUUUCAGUUCAA